rnacentral:rRNA from 1 species
CCUACGGGAGGCAGCAGUGAGGAAUAUUGGUCAAUGGACGAGAGUCUGAACCAGCGACGUAGCGUGAAGGAUGACUGCCCUAUGGGUUGUAAACUUCUUUUAUAUGGGAAUAAAAUGUUCCACGUGUGGGAUUUUGUAUGUACCAUAUGAAUAAGGAUCGGCGAACUCCGUGCCAGCAGCCGCGGUAAUACGGAGGAUCCGAGCGUUAUCCGGAUUUAUUGGGUUUAAAGGGAGCGUAGGUGGAUUGUUAAGUCAGUUGUGAAAGUUUGCGGCUCAACCGUAAAAUUGCAGUUGAAACUGGCAGUCUUGAGUACAGUAGAGGGAGGCGGAAUUCGUGGUGUAGCGGUGAAAUGCUUAGAUAUCACGAAGAACUCCGAUUGCGAAGGCAGUUCACUGGACUGCAACUGACACUGAGGCUCGAAAGUGUGGGUAUCAAACAGGAUUAGAUACCCCGGUAGUC